rnacentral:rRNA from 1 species
GAUGAACGCUAGCGGCAGGCUUAAUACAUGCAAGUCGAGGGGCAGCACGGGUAGCAAUACCUGGUGGCGACCGGCAAACGGGUGCGGAACACGUACGCAACCUUCCCAUAACUGGUGAAUAGCCCUCCGAAAGGAGGAUUAAUACACCGUAACUUAACGAAGUGGCAUCACUUUGUUAAUAUAGGCUUCGGCCGGUUUUGGAUGGGCGUGCGCCUGAUUAGGUAGUUGGCGGGGUAACGGCCCACCAAGCCUGCGAUCAGUAACUGGUGUGAGAGCACGACCAGUCACACGGGCACUGAGACACGGGCCCGACUCCUACGGGAGGCAGCAGUAAGGAAUAUUGGUCAAUGGACGAAAGUCUGAACCAGCCAUGCCGCGUGAAGGAUUAAGGCCCUCUGGGUUGUAAAACUUCUUUUAAUCUGGGACGAAAAAAGGGUAUUCUUACUCACUUGACGGUACCAGAGGAAUAAGCACCGGCUAACUCCGUGCCAGCAGCCGCGGUGAUGUCUGUACU